rnacentral:rRNA from 1 species
GCGAACGGGUGAGUAACGCGUAGGUAACCUGCCUGGUAGCGGGGGAUAACUAUUGGAAGCGAUAGCUAAUACCGCAUAACAGUAGAUAUUGCAUGAUAUCUGCUUGAAAGGUGCAAAUGCAUCACUACCAGAUGGACCUGCGUUGUAUUAGCUAGUUGGUGGGGUAAAGGCCUACCAAGGCGACGAUGCAUAGCCGACCUGAGAGGGUGAUCGGCCACACUGGGACUGAGACACGGCCCAGACUCCUACGGGAGGCAGCAGUAGGGAAUCUUCCGCAAUGGGCGAAAGCCUGACGGAGCAACGCCGCGUGAGUGAAGAAGGAUUUCGGUUCGUAAAGCUCUGUUGUUAGGGAAGAAUGAUUGUGUAGUAACUAUACACAGUAGAGACGGUACCUAACCAGAAAGCCACGGCUAACUACGUGCCAGCAGCCGCGGUAAUACGUAGGUGGCAAGCGUUGUCCGGAAUUAUUGGGCGUAAAGCGCGCGCAGGUGGUUUAAUAAGUCUGAUGUGAAAGCCCACGGCUCAACCGUGGAGGGUCAUUGGAAACUGUUAAACUUGAGUGCAGGAGAGAAAAGUGGAAUUCCUAGUGUAGCGGUGAAAUGCGUAGAGAUUAGGAGGAACACCAGUGGCGAAGGCGGCUUUUUG